UACGUAGGUGGCAAGCGUUGUCCGGAUUUACUGGGCGUAAAGGAUGCGUAGGCGGAUGUUUAAGUGAGAUGUGAAAUACCCGAGCUCAACUUGGGUGCUGCAUUUCAAACUGGAUAUCUAGAGUGCAGGAGAGGAAAGCGGAAUUCCUAGUGUAGCGGUGAAAUGCGUAGAGAUUAGGAAGAACACCAGUGGCGAAGGCGGCUUUCUGGACUGUAACUGACGCUGAGGCGCGACAGCGUGGGGAGCAAACAGG
rnacentral:rRNA from 1 species